AUACGUAGGGGGCGAGCGUUGUCCGGAAUGAUUGGGCGUAAAGGGCGCGUAGGCGGCCCGGUAAGUCUGGAGUGAAAGUCCUGCUUUUAAGGUGGGAAUUGCUUUGGAUACUGUCGGGCUUGAGUGCAGGAGAGGUAAGUGGAAUUCCCAGUGUAGCGGUGAAAUGCGUAGAGAUUGGGAGGAACACCAGUGGCGAAGGCGACUUACUGGACUGUAACUGACGCUGAGGCGCGAAAGUGUGGGGAGCAAACAGGAUUAGAUACCCUGGUAGUCCUGGCAGUAAACGAUGUAUGCUGGUGUGAGACUAGCGAUAGUUUCGUGCCGAAGUUAACGCGAUAAGCAUACCGCCUGGGGAGUACGGUCGCAAGAUUGAAACUCAAAUGAAUUGACGGGG
rnacentral:rRNA from 1 species